GACGAACGCUGGCGGCGUGCUUAACACAUGCAAGUCGAACGAAGUGGCGAACGGGUGAGAACUACGUGAGUAACUGCCCUCCUUUUUGGGAUAAGCCUUGGAAACGGCUGCUAAUACCGGAUAGGGGGGGAUGACUCGGGUCCUAUAGGCUGGUGGGUGGGGUAGUGGCCUACCAAGGCGACGCCUGGUACCCGGCCUGAGAGGGCGACCGGGGACAUUGGUCUACGAGACGGACCAGUCGACUACGGGGGGCAGCGGUGGGGAAUAUGGCGCAGUGGGGGCAACUCUGCUGCAGCGGCGCCAGGGGCGGGAUGACGUCCUUCGGGUUGUAAACCGCGUUCAGCCAUGACGCGUUAGUGGCAGAAGAAGCACCGGCUAACUACGUGCCAGCAGCCGCGGUAAUUC
rnacentral:rRNA from 1 species